rnacentral:lncRNA from 1 species
CCAUCCAAACCUCUGCUCCCACGUGCCGUUAUUUGCGCCCAGUCCUGGGCCGAUGCGGGGAGAGAGAGAGAGACGAAAGGAGCCUGCUGUCUGCCUCACCUGGAUGCUGGCGGCUGCAGCAGAGACAGGGGAGGGCAGAGUCCAGACGGGGAGGGCUGCUGAGGGCCCCCGCUCCCACUCUAGGCGCCAAACUGGCCUCCAGACUGGAACUCUGAACCAGCCACACACACAAGCCACAUGUGUGCUUUGCAAGUUCCUAGUAGCCACAUUGAAAACACAUACCAAGAAAUUAGCUUUAAUAUUACAUUUAAUCCGAUAUAUCCCCAACAUUAUCAUGCUUGGUAUCCCAAACAUGUAAUCAAUAUAAAUAGUGAGAUGGAUAAUUCACAUUCCUUUUAUCAGAUCAAAUCUUUGAAAUUCAGUGUAUUUUUCGACAUUUACAGACUCUCUCCAUCGGACCCAGUCACGUUCCCUGCUCGCCUGCAGGGCGGGUCUAGAAUGAUUCGGCACUUUUGGAAAGCACCAGUCAAUGCCCCAGGCACGAAGGAAACAAAGGAAGGCUAGGAUGGUGCUGGCAGGUGAAUUGUCCACAGGAAGACCGGAGGCGGUAAAGAGGUGGGAGGAGCCAGGGAGAGAACCCGGCUGCCAGCGUGGCCAGGACCAGCUGAUGCCCGAAGACCACGGCUGAUAUGCGUUCGCUGGGAACCCUCAGAAACACUUAGGAGGGGACUGAACUUACUGAAACCAAAUGUGGGGUGUGGACUUGAGUUAUUCUAUUCAGUUAGCAAGAGAAUGGUCACCUCUCAGUUAUCUGCAGAUUCGGGGACAUUCAGGUUACAUUGAAUUACUGUACUGAUAAUAAGUAACAUUCAUGGCAAAAUAAAACACUAUUUAGUUUGCAAAGAAUUUCUGUUUGCUAUAUCAUUUCAUAGAUGAUUCAUUACAUGUAAGUUUCCAAACCUAUCCCGAUAUUUGGAAGAGAAUGUAUUUUCCCUGAACAGUGCAUGUAAAAACAUUUAAACAGACCCUAGCACCAUCUUAGAAUAGAGUUACACAGUUAUUCGUCCAGGACUAGCUCAGGUGGUAAAGAAUCUUCCUACGAUGCCAGAGACCUGGGUUUGAUUCCUGGGUUGGGAAGAUCCCCUGGAGAAGGAAAUGGCAAUCCACACCAGUAUUCUUGCCUGGAAAAUACCAUGGACAGAGGAGCCUGGCGUGACCCCCACGGGGUCACAAGAGUCAGACACGACUUAACGACUAAACCGCCACCGCCACACAGUUAUUCAUUACAAUUAGUAAGUAAUUCAUUCUCUGUACAAUAAAGCCAACCUCCCAACCCAUUUGAAAUAAGACUUUGACUACCCCGAGCUCUUCAGCAGCAUCAUUUUUGGGAGCCGGUUGACCCUCCCUUGUGGCUUAGCCAGGGGGCCUCUGAGCCUCCUCCUCUCAGAUGUCAGGAUGCGUGGAAAUGGGGUAGAGAGGAUAAAAAAGAGCCUCCGAAAGACUCGUGUGUCAGAUGAAGUAAAUACUCUGCUUCCACCGCAAGGACUAACCUGAAAAGAUGGCAACGGAAACGGAGGUCCUGAUGGUGACGAGAGCAGAGUCAGCAGGAAUGGUGUUUGCUGCACCCGUGAAUAACCUCGCCUGGCUUUUCUUCCCCUGAACCAGCGGGCACCAACCUUUUUGCCACCAGGGAUCAGUUUCUUGGAAGACAAUUUUUCCACGAGACUGGGGAGCACAGGAUGGUUUCAGAAUGACUCCAGCACCGGACACCUACUAUGUACUUGGUUUCUAUUAUUACUGCAUCAGCUCCUCCUCAGGUCAUCAGGUGUUAGAUCACAGAGCCUAUGGACCCCCAACCUAACAGAAGCUAAUCAGUCAGUCCUCUCUUCCUCAACCAAGCGUUGACCUCGUAUUCCCAGGUGGCGCUAGUGGUAAAGAACCUGCCUGCCAAUGCAGCAGACAUAAGAGAUGUGGGUUCGACCCCUGAGUUGGGAAGAUCCCCUGAAGGAGGGCAUGGCAACCCACUCCAGUGUUCUUGCCUGAAUAAUCCCCAUAGACAGAGGAGCCUGGCGGGCUACAGUCCGUGGGGUCGCAAAGAGUGGGAUGUGACUGAUAGAGCAUGCACACACGUGCAUUAACUACAUUAACCAUGAAAGCAUUUACAAAGUUCAGCCAAGGCGGCCACAGCAAGCCAGCAAGAAGCUCUGCACCGUGAACAAGGGAUCAGGCUGCAGACAUUCUUCUGGAGGACAAGGCUAGUGCCACAGUAUCAUUUUUUUAAGUUAAAAACAAGACUGCUUUAUACUAAUAUAGAAAGAAUAUGCUUCCAAAAUUUGCUUUAUUCAUUAAAAAAAAAACUGGCAGAAUCGCAAAGCUCAUUCAAAGAGAACUGGAAAGACUGAGUCCUGAACGAUAUAACGCUGUAAUAAGACUGUUCAGUUAGACAUAAAACAGGUUUUCUGUCUGCAGGGCAACGAACCCAAGACUUCUGUCACUAUCAUUGCUAAAGAAGAAAGAAAAUGUGUCCCUCCCGGACACACACAAUCAUCUCCAGCUUAUAAAUCUCCACGUCGACAUCUAAUUUCUAACGUCUGUUGUUGUUGUUUAGUCACUAAGUCGUGUCCGGUUCUUUUGCGAUUCCCAUGGAUAGGCUCCUCUGUCCAUGGGAUUUCCCAGAGAAGAAUACUGGAGUGGGUUGCCAUUCCCUUCCCCGGGGAUCUUCCCAACCCAGGAAUCAAACCCAUGUCUCCUGUACUGCAGGCAGAUUCUCUACCCCUGAGCACCUGGGAAGUGCUUCUAACACCUAACCAGUCGUAGAAAGUAAGUGAGACAGGAAUGACUCCCUUUAGACGAUGCUUGAAAAUGACGAUUAAAGGACACGGUCAUCCUUUCGCUUAUCCAAUGUGGGGGUAUUUUUUUUAAGACUUAGGAUACACAGGACAAUGAAUAAAAUAAGCGUUCGGUGCGUGGCUGUAAGAAUUUAGCCCUUUCACCUGCGUCCUGCAGCACGCUGCCCUGGCACUUCUGUACUUACUGGUGUGUUUUUUAAAUGACUGAUUUCUACAACAAGCAUAGAGACCCCAGGGCUGUCUUGCUCCCCAGAAGGAAGGAUCUUUAUGGAAACAUCUGAACUGCCUUCCUUUGCUAUCACGACAUCUUCAAGGCUCUACCGGAAGGUGCACAAGGUUCAGAGCAUUCAGACUUUCCCCUUAACCAGUGAAAUCUAAAGAACUUGAUGGUCAUGUCUUUCAAAAAAAAAUACAGAAAUAGAUCUUCAAGAAAACAGGUCAGGCCAACUCAGAAGGGGAGAAAAAAAAAACCUUAUCCUUGGGAGGAACAGUUAGUUCAUUUGACUUUUUCUAAGAACUUUGGCCUUGGGGCAGCCUCGGGAGGUGUGCCCACACACACUGGGCUGUCUGCCGCUGGACAAGUCAGGGCCAUUAUGAUGUUCCUGGGGAAGUGCCAUGAUGCUCACAGUGGGGGUCUCUCCCCUGCUCAGACCCCGAGCCAGAAAGGGCCCUAACACUGCAUCCUGACCACACAGCUCAUCAGGGAAGGAGAGAAACUGUAGGUCUGCAGCCAUAACGUCUUGUAGGGAGGUUUGGAGCCAAGCAAAGGCUGCUGUAAAAGCCAACAAAUGACAACUUGGCUCGCAGAGACGGCUUCGUGUCCAGGCUGGUUUGGAAUCUUCCAUCAGAGGCCACGAAUGCUAGCAAUGUUGGUAGUGGUGGUCACUUCACCUAAACAGAUGUCCUGGGCCCUGUGGGGGCUGUGGCGGGCUGGAGACCGCCUCUUCCCUUGGCAGUGGGAAAUUGCUACCCAGGGCCUCUCCCUGUGACCAUGUGGGAACAGUGGGCUGGUGUUGCCAAAGCUUCUGGUGUUUUUUAAGCUGGAAACUCAAUGUGUGUGUGCAAUCUCUUAGUUUCAACUUUGAUUCCUUUUUUUUUUUUCCCCCUGAAUGUUAAGGAAAAGCGAAGAAAACACACCUCUGAGCCAGGAGGUAGUGCCCUCUGCAGGGAUGGUUCCCUUUCUCUCAGAACCAGCAUCCCCAGUGGUCCCUAAACACCCUGCUUCCAGACCAUCUGGUCCCCAUCCCCAGUACCUCAUCGGCAGAGUAUUUUUCUGUCUUGCCUCUUUGGGUGGAAGAUGCUCAGGCAAACUUUUUUGGUAUAAUUUUAUGCAUUUAUUUUUACUUUUUUGGCUGUGCUGGGUCUUUGCUGCUGCCCGGCUUUCUCACGUCGCUGUGAGGGGGUCUGCUCUCCAGCUGUGAUGCACUGGCUUCUCAUCGCGGUGGCUGCUCUUGUUGUCAAGCAUGGACUGGAGGGUGCUUGGGCCUCAGUCGUUCAGCACUCGGGCUCAGCAGUUGUGGCUCCUGGACUCUAGAGCACCGGCUUCAGGAGCUAUGGCGGACGGGUUUAGUUGCUCCAAGGCACGUGGAUUCUUCCCGAACAGGGAUCGAAGCUGUGUCCCCUGCAUCGGCAGGCAGAUUCUUAACCACCGAGCCACCAAGGAAGCCCUCAGGCAAACUUCUGAUUCAGUCCCUCCUAAGGUCUGCCUUUCAAAUCAUCUUUCUUUGCUUGAUCUCCUGAAGCCUUUGGAUGAGUAAUGUUUUACCUCUACAUUUGACCUUUGGCAUCCAGAGAACACACCCUAAUUUGAGCCUGGCAUCCCACUACUGCUUGUUGAACAAAGAUUCUGGGCUAAUGUGUGAGAAAGAGACAGAGAGACAGAGGCAGGGUGUUGAGGGGCUGGGGCACUGGAGGAAUUAGUAAUAAGAAUAUUGAAUUGAGUUCAGAGAAAUGGGUUUUUUCCAAAACACAGGCUGGGAUAUGAACAGCGCGGGACGCUGAGGACUUGAACCUGACAAACCACGACUGUUUCUUAGCCUCACUGCAUGACACUUCCCAGCAGUGGCUUCUCAGCCCUGGCCGCACAUGACGACUCAGGAAGCCUUUAUUUAUAACAUAGAAAUCACUGGGCACCACCCCCAAAAAUUCUGAUUCAAUUGUCUG